AUGCACGCUGGCGGCGUGCUUAACCCAUGCAAGUCGAACGGAAAGGCCCAAGCUUGCUUGGGUACUCGAGUGGCGAACGGGUGAGUAACACGUGGGUGAUCUGCCCCGCACUUCGGGAUAAGCCUGGGAAACUGGGUCUAAUACCGGAUAGGACCACUUCUUGGAGGUUGUGGUGGAAAGUUUUUUCGGUGUGGGAUGAGCUCGCGGCCUAUCAGCUUGUUGGUGGGGUAAUGGCCUACCAAGGCGUCGACGGGUAGCCGGCCUGAGAGGGUGUACGGCCACAUUGGGACUGAGAUACGGCCCAGACUCCUACGGGAGGCAGCAGUGGGGAAUAUUGCACAAUGGGCGCAAGCCUGAUGCAGCGACGCCGCGUGGGGGAUGACGGCCUUCGGGUUGUAAACUCCUUUCGCUAGGGACGAAGCGCAAGUGACGGUACCUAGAGAAGAAGCACCGGCUAACUACGUG
rnacentral:rRNA from 1 species